rnacentral:rRNA from 1 species
GAUGAACGCUGGCGGCGUGCCUAAUACAUGCAAGUCGAGCGAACGGACGAGAAGCUUGCUUCUCUGAUGUUAGCGGCGGACGGGUGAGUAACACGUGGAUAACCUACCUAUAAGACUGGGAUAACUUCGGGAAACCGGAUCUAAUACCGGAUGAUAUUUUGAACCGCAUGGUUCAAAAGUGAAAGACGGUCUUGCUGUCACUUAUAGAUGGAUCCGCGCUGCAUUAGCUAGUUGGUAAGGUAACGGCUUACCAAGGCAACGAUGCAUAGCCGACCUGAGAGGGUGAUCGGCCACACUGGAACCGAGACACGGUCCAGACUCCUACGGGAGGCAGCAGUAGGGAAUCUUCCGCAAUGGGCGAAAGCCUGACGGAGCAACGCCGCGUGAGUGAUGAAGGUCUUCGGAUCGUAAAACUCUGUUAUUAGGGAAGAACAUAUGUGUAAGUAACUGUGCACAUCUUGACGGUACCUAAUCAGAAAGCCACGGCUAACUACGUG